AAACUUUCAACAAUGGAUCUCUUGGUUCCGGCAUCGAUGAAGAACGCAGCGAAAUGCGAUAAGUAAUGCGAAUUGCAGAAUUCCGUGAGUCAUCGAAUCUUUGAACGCACAUUGCGCCCCCCGGUUUCCCGGGGGGCAUGCCUGUCCGAGCGUCAUU
rnacentral:rRNA from 1 species